rnacentral:lncRNA from 1 species
CGCUCGACCUUGAGCCACCCACACUCGCCCCUGCACCAGCUUGGAGGUGGAGAGCUGCCUUGUCUCUGCAAUAUCCUUGGAGACAGCUACACGGAGGGGUCAGAGGCUGUAGACACUGCUGUCGGUCGAGCUCAGGCAUCAGAUGGGACACAGUCUAGCCUAAAAGGCAUCCAGCCGUUCAGACCAUGGUAGAUGAAUCUAAAUGCAGUGUUCUACUGCUCACCUGUGUGGAAUGGGACAAGGGCACACAGGUUCCAGACAGCCAGGCUUUAAUGAAUAUUCAAGUCCCUGGAACUGGUCUUGGAAGUCGAAGGUUGUGCUGGAGAGUCAAGGCCUCGCCAGCAGAGACAAAGCCCACCCCAUUAAGGAGCAGAGGACGUGUGCUUUCUACAGAAAAUGGGACUCUGGAAAAGGAAACUACAAAGGGGCACGGAGCAUCUCAGGUUGCUCUUUGUAGCCGUCAGCAGUCAGCAACAGAAGGAGCAGCUGGAAAGAGAGGCUGACCAAGAACUGCAUAUGAAGAAGUCUGUAAAUGGAAAGGAUUCAUCAGGAAGUUGACUGAUAGCAGUCAAAUUGUAUGCAUCAGUGCUUUUCCUUCUCUUUUAUCCAGCAAAAUUUUAAGUGCAAAGUUGGAUCACAACCUGGAAGAAUUCAGGAGCAAAGAAAAGUCAGAGAGAACCAGCCCGAGACCGAUGCUGCAUUUGGAAGGUUGUGGUCGGCCAAGAGAAGGCAGUGGUCCACAGAGUCUCCAUCCCUCCAGAGGACCACAGAGCCAGGACACGCAACAGGUCAACUAGACAGAGGCUGCACAGGCCAUUUGCAGGGCAAAGUCAGUGCCCAGCACAGCAGAGAAAAUCUUUCUGGUGAGCUGCGCCUGAACAUGUGUGAAGUGGAGGUAACAGCCUGGCACAGCACAGCCACCAAGUCUUGAUCCAGGGACCGCUUCCUAAUCAACCUCCUGCAUGUCCAUCUCUAUCUCAGAGGCUGCUUCCCAGAGGACCUGACCUGUGCGUAAAGAU